AUUGAACGCUGGCGGCAUGCCUUACACAUGCAAGUCGAACGGCAGCACGGGGCAACCUGGUGGCGAGUGGCGAACGGGUGAGUAAUGCAUCGGAACGUACCUUUCAGUGGGGGAUAACGUAGCGAAAGUUACGCUAAUACCGCAUAUUCUGUGAGCAGGAAAGCAGGGGAUCGCAAGACCUUGCGCUGAUUGAGCGGCCGAUGUCAGAUUAGCUAGUUGGUGAGGUAAAGGCUCACCAAGGCGACGAUCUGUAGCGGGUCUGGGAGGAUGAUCCGCCACACUGGAACGGAGACAAGGUCCAGACUCCUACGGGAGGCAGCAGUGGGGAAUCUUGGACAAUGGGGGCAACCCUGAUCCAGCCAUGCCGCGUGAGUGAAGAAGGCCUUCGGGUUGUAAAGCUCUUUCGGCCGGGAAGAAAUCGCACGGGCUAAUACCCUGUGUGGAUGACGGUACCGGAAUAAGAAGCACCGGCUAACUACGUGCCAGCAGCCGCGGUAACAC
rnacentral:rRNA from 1 species